rnacentral:tRNA from 1 species
GGGGAUGUAACUCCAUGGUAGAGUGCUUGCCUAGUAUGUAUGAGGCCCUGGGUUUAAUCCCAGGUAUCUCUC